rnacentral:rRNA from 1 species
GACGAACGCUGGCGGCGUGCUUAACACAUGCAAGUCGAACGGUAAGGCCCUUCGGGGUACACGAGUGGCGAACGGGUGAGUAACACGUGGGUGAUCUGCCCUGCACUUCGGGAUAAGCCUGGGAAACUGGGUCUAAUACCGGAUAGGACCACUGCCUGCAUGGGUGGUGGUGGAAAGCUUUUGCGGUGUGGGAUGGGCCCGCGGCCUAGCAGCUUGUUGGUGGGGUGAUGGCCUACCCAGGCGACGACGGGUCGCCGGCCUGAGAGGGUGACCGGCCACACUUGGACUGAGAUACGGCCCAGACUCCUACGGGAGGCAGCAGUGGGGAAUAUUGCACAAUGGGCGCAAGCCUGAUGCAGCGACGCCGCGUGAGGGAUGACGGCCUUCGGGUUGUAAACCUCUUUCAGCACCGACGAAGCGCAAGUGACGGUAGGUGCAGAAGAAGGACCGGCCAACUACGUGCCAGCCGCCGCGGUAA